UACGGGGGGAGCAAGCGUUGUUCGGAUUUACUGGGCGUAAAGGGCGCGUAGGCGGCCACCGCAAGUCGACUGUGAAAUCUCCGGGCUUAACCCGGAAAGGUCAGCCGAUACUGCGGGGCUAGAGUGCAGAAGGGGCAACUGGAAUUCUCGGUGUAGCGGUGAAAAUGCGUAGAUAUCGAGAGGAACACCUGCGGCGAAGGCGGGUUGCUGGGCUGACACUGACGCUGAUGCGCGAAAGCUAGGGGAGCGAACGGG
rnacentral:rRNA from 1 species